UACGUAGGGUGCAAGCGUUGUCCGGAUUCAUUGGGCGUAAAGAGCGUGUAGGCGGCCAGGUAGGUCGGUUGUGAAAACUGGAGGCUCAACCUUCAGAGGUCGACCGAAACCAUCUGGCUAGAGUCCGGGAGAGGAGAGUGGAAUUCCUGGUGUAGCGGUGAAAUGCGCAGAUAUCAGGAAGAACACCCGUGGCGAAAGCGGCUCUCUGGAACGGUACUGACGCUGAGACGCGAAAGCGUGGGGAGCGAACAGG
rnacentral:rRNA from 1 species